rnacentral:rRNA from 1 species
GCGUGCUUAACACAUGCAAGUCGAACGAUGAAGGUGGGAGCUUGCUCCUACUGGAUUAGUGGCGAACGGGUGAGUAACACGUGAGCAAUCUGCCCCUGACUCUGGGAUAAGCGUUGGAAACGACGUCUAAUACCGGAUACGAGCUGGGACCGCAUGGUCACCAGCUGGAAAGAACUUUGGUCAGGGAUGAGCUCGCGGCCUAUCAGCUUGUUGGUGAGGUAAUGGCUCACCAAGGCGACGACGGGUAGCCGGCCUGAGAGGGUGACCGGCCACACUGGGACUGAGACACGGCCCAGACUCCUACGGGAGGCAGCAGUGGGGAAUAUUGCACAAUGGGCGCAAGCCUGAUGCAGCAACGCCGCGUGAGGGACGAAGGCCUUCGGGUUGUAAACCUCUUUUAGCAGGGAAGAAGCGAAAGUGACGGUACCUGCAGAAAAAGCGCCGGCU